GGCGGACGGGUGAGUAAUAUAUAGGUAAUGUGCCCUAGAGAAGAGGAUAACAGUUGGAAACGACUGCUAAUACUCUAUAUGCCUUUAAGACAAAAGUCUGCAAGGGAAAUAUUUAUAGCUCUAGGAUCGGCCUGUACGGUAUCAGCUAGUUGGUGAGGUAAUGGCUCACCAAGGCAAUGACGCCUAACUGGUUUGAGAGGAUGAUCAGUCACACUGGAACUGAGACACGGUCCAGACUCCUACGGGAGGCAGCAGUGGGGAAUAUUGCACGGGUGGGGGAAACCCUGAUGCAGCAACGCCGCGUGGAGGAUGACACAUUUCGGUGCGUAAACUCCUUUUAUAUAGGAAGAUAAUGACGGUACUAUAUGAAUAAGCGCCGGCUAACUCCGUGCCAGCAGCCGCGGUAAUACGGAGGGCGCAAGCGUUGCUCGGAAUCACUGGGCGUAAAGAGCGUGUAGGCGGGUUAAUAAGUUUGAAGUGAAAUCCUAUGGCUCAACCAUAGAACUGCUUUGAAAACUGUUAACCUAGAAUAUGGGAGAGGUAGAUGGAAUUUCUGGUGUAGGGGUAAAAUCCGUAGAGAUCAGAAGGAAUACCGAUUGCGAAGGCGAUCUACUGGAACAUUAUUGACGCUGAGACGCGAAAGCGUGGGGAGCAAACAGGAUUAGAUACCCUGGUAGUCCACGCCCUAAACGAUUUUCACUAGUUGUUGUGAGGCUAGACCUUGCAGUAAUGCAGUAAACACAUUAAGU
rnacentral:rRNA from 1 species